UACGUAGGGGGCAAGCGUUGUCCGGAUUUAUUGGGCGUAAAGCGCUCGCAGGUGGUCCGCUGCGUCGUGCGUGAAAGACCCCGGCUCAACUGGGGGAUGUCGUGCGAUACGGGCGGACUGGAGGCCAGUAGGGGGAUGCGGAAUUCCGGGUGUAGUGGUGGAAUGCGUAGAGAUCCGGAGGAACACCAGCGGCGAAGGCGGCAUCCUGGACUGGUCCUGACACUCAGGAGCGAAAGCGUGGGGAGCGAACAGG
rnacentral:rRNA from 1 species